AGAGUUUGAUCCUGGCUCAGAUUGAACGCUAGCGGGAUGCUCUACACAUGCAAGUCGAACGGCAGCACGAGAGAGCUUGCUCUCUUGGUGGCGAGUGGCGGACGGGUGAGUAAUAUAUCGGAACGUGCCCAGUAGCGGGGGAUAACUACUCGAAAGAGUGGCUAAUACCGCAUACGCCCUACGGGGGAAAGGGGGGGAUCGCAAGACCUCUCACUAUUGGAGCGGCCGAUAUCGGAUUAGCUAGUUGGUGGGGUAAAGGCUCACCAAGGCAACGAUCCGUAGCUGGUUUGAGAGGACGACCAGCCACACUGGGACUGAGACACGGCCCAGACUCCUACGGGAGGCAGCAGUGGGGAAUUUUGGACAAUGGGGGAAACCCUGAUCCAGCCAUCCCGCGUGUAUGAUGAAGGCCUUCGGGUUGUAAAGUACUUUUGGCAGAGAAGAAAAGGCAUCCCCUAAUACGGGAUGCUGCUGACGGUAUCUGCAGAAUAAGCACCGGCUAACUACGUGCCAGCAGCCGCGGUAAUACGUAGGGUGCAAGCGUUAAUCGGAAUUACUGGGCGUAAAGCGUGUGUAGGCGGUUCGGAAAGAAAGAUGUGAAAUCCCAGGGCUCAACCUUGGAACUGCAUUUUUAACUGCCGAGCUAGAGUAUGUCAGAGGGGGGUAGAAUUCCACGUGUAGCAGUGAAAUGCGUAGAUAUGUGGAGGAAUACCGAUGGCGAAGGCAGCCCCCUGGGAUAAUACUGACGCUCAGACACGAAAGCGUGGGGAGCAAACAGGAUUAGACACCCUGGUAGUCCACGCCCUAAACGAUGUCAACUAGCUGUUUGUGGCCCUUAGGCCUUAUUAGCGCCACUAACGCGUGAAGUUGACCGCCUGGGGGAUACGGUCUGCAAGAAUUAAAACUCAAAGGAAUUGGGGGGGGAACCCCCAAGCCGGGGGGAGAAGGGGGAUUAAUUCCAAUUUAACGGCAAAAAAACCCUUACCCACCCUUG
rnacentral:rRNA from 1 species